rnacentral:sRNA from 1 species
CUGAUUCCGAUACCGUGCGAGACGAUAGCGAGAUAAAAACAAAGGGUCACUGUUUGAUUGGAUCCACGUGGCAUGCUAAUUUCGGCCCCGGACGGCAAUACCUGAGUCUGCGGAGAUAGAGAAGUGUGCAUUUAAUUGACAAUGAAGAUUAUGGUAGCAACAUCUAAAAUCACGUUAUCCCCUAAUUAGAUUGCAAGUGAUUGAUCGCGCGUCCAGGACACGCGCAUCGAACGCCACCGGAAGCCAAGCUUUACUGGACGGGUGACAUUUUCGCACAUUUUCCAGCACGGUCUCGUAAACAUUUUUGGUGGCCGUUACCGUUGCUUUAUGACAAAUUUUAGUGAUUAAUGAAGAUAUGAUACUCUCGUUGUUUGAUGCCAUUUGAUGCACGAUUAAUUAGAAGCAAGGUCUUAGAAAUAUUUACAAGCGGUCACCACCGGUGGUCAUUUAAGACGAUUUAAUUGACACAACUAGAAUUUCAAUGAUGACGUUGACAGACAAACCCACAACUGAGGUCGCAAAUUUUCACCCCUUUGUCAAACAUUUCACCGGUUCUGACUUUUGGGAUGAUAACCUCGCGAUAGUUUUAUCAUAGAAACUAUGCAUAACGAUAACUAACAAAUUGUCCGUCACUUGCCACAUUUCUUAGGCAGAUUGUCGGAAUUUGCCGUCAAGCAGGGAGACGAGGAUAUCAAAUACCGUGGAGGGAGAGAAGUGUUGCGUGAAUACCCCCUCAUCUUUGGGGCAUCAACUGUCAGUUCCGUACAAAAACGCUCACAUAGGUUAAUUAAUGAUAAAAAACGCAGUCGUAACAACACGUUCGUCGCUCUUAGAGACUGUAUUCUCAUUUUCUUUACCGAGCUAGCUGAGUUGCUGACUCAAAAGUUCACAAUUCUUGUUCGCAUCCAUGUCAAAAUUCAUCUGAUUUUUUGUAACACUUUGUACGGAUGCUUGCAAAUUUACCUUCUCGUUUUACAUGUUACAGCUUAGACAAUUUUUUUUUAUCUUGGGAAUGAAUCAUUCUGUCUAUGUUAUAUGCCUAAGGGAUUGCAUUUCAUGAGCCUAGGGGGAGCCACAUCUCCAAAUAAAAAACGACGCAUGUGAGUUAUCGGGCACAAUACGGU